UGGUGGAGCGAUUUGUCUGGUUAAUUCCGAUAACGAACGAGACUCUGGCCUACUAAAUAGACGAAAGAUCAUUUAUGGUCUAUCGCAGCUUCUUAGAGGGACGGGCGGCGUAUAGCCGCACGAGAAUGAGCAAUAACA
rnacentral:rRNA from 1 species